rnacentral:pre_miRNA from 1 species
AUACACAUCACCUGGGGAUCUUUUUAGAACACAGAUUCUGUUCUAUAGGUCUGGACUGGAGACUGAGGGUCUGCAUUUCUAACAAGCUCCCAGAUGAUGCUGUU